UUUCUGUCAAGUUUUUUGCUGCUCUACUACUAUAACGUAGAUCCAUGAGUGACCAAAGGAGAUAUCAGAUUUUUCGGAUUGGCACCGUGCAUAAGCUUACCCCAUGUAUGCAGCCAUUUAGUCCUAAUCUAUAAAUUUCACAUUUGAUCUCUAAAGAGAUAUGUAUGUGAAGCAUAUAGUUCCCUGGAUGUUCAAGUGAAUUGUUUUGCAAAUACCUUGUUGCUGAUGCAGGGAACUGAAAACCUUCCUGGUCUAAUG
rnacentral:lncRNA from 1 species